rnacentral:rRNA from 1 species
GAGGAACGCUGGCGGCGUGCUUAACACAUGCAAGUCGAACGGGAUCCAAGGGGUGCUUGCACUUUUUGGUGAGAGUGGCGAACGGGUGAGUAACACGUGAGUAACCUGUCCUUUUCUUUGGGAUAAGCAUUCGAAAGGGUGUUUAAUACCUUAUGUUCUGUCUGCCUCGCAUGGGGUGGGGGGGAAAGGCGGGGGCCGGAGUUGGGUGGGCUCGCGGUCUAUCAGCUUGUUGGUGGGGUGAUGGCUUACCAAGGCUUUGACGGGUAGCCGGCCUGAGAGGGUGGUCGGUCACAUUGGGACUGAGAUACGGACCAGACUACUGCGGGCGGCCGCCGUGGGGGCUCUUGCGCGCUGGGCGCCCGCCUGCUGCAGCGCCGCCGCGUGGGGGCUGAAGGCCUUCGGGUUGUAAACUUCUUUUGCUCUGCCCCCGGCCUGCCCGUGGGUGUGUUGCGUGUCGGGGUGGCUUCGCGCCGGCUCCCUCCGUG